AAUUCCCUGCUUUGCUCGUGAUAAGCCUUUUUAAACCCACAUUUUCUAUAAGGGAUGCCAAUCUCUUCCUGUGAAAUUGCAGGCCUCCCGAAUCAUGCUUGACAUGGUUUGGAUGUUGGAAGCGCGCAGCAGGAAGGAGGCGACCCACCUGCCCACAGGUGCAGGUUAUAAAUGGGUUUACACGGUACGGCGGGGUCACA
rnacentral:other from 1 species